GUAUAUAUAGCUCAGAGGUAGAGCACAUGCUUAGCAUACAUGAGGUCCUGGGUUCAAUUCCCAGUAUCUCCA
rnacentral:tRNA from 1 species